CCUACGGGUGGCUGCAGUGGGGAAUAUUGGACAAUGGGGGGAACCCUGAUCCAGCCAUGCCGCGUGUGUGAAGAAGACCCUCGGGUUGUAAAGCACUUUCAGUGAGGAAGAACGCCUGGUGGUUAAUACCCAUCAGGAAAGACAUCACUCACAGAAGAAGCACCGGCUAACUCCGUGCCAGCAGCCGCGGUAAUACGGAGGGUGCGAGCGUUAAUCGGAAUUACUGGGCGUAAAGCGCGCGUAGGUGGCUUGAUAAGCCGGUUGUGAAAGCCCCGGGCUCAACCUGGGAACGGCAUCCGGAACUGUCAAGCUAGAGUGCAGGAGAGGAAGGUAGAAUUCCCGGUGUAGCGGUGAAAUGCGUAGAGAUCGGGAGGAAUACCAGUGGCGAAGGCGGCCUUCUGGACUGACACUGACACUGAGGUGCGAAAGCGUGGGUAGCAAACAGGAUUAGAUACCCCAGUAGUC
rnacentral:rRNA from 1 species